UGUUACUACACCAGUUAGCCACAAAGGGGAAAUGGGGAUACAAUUAAUGGUAUCUACUCAUCCAAAAACACUACUAAGCUGCAACCUAAUAGCAAUUAUGAGCACCAAAGAAUCACCAUUUCUCCCUAAUUUUACAAAAUUAGGAUGUAAGAAGCCCUAACAAAAGUUGACGCAAAAUACUACUGCAAUCUUUUCUUCUUCUUCUUGUCUAUAUCGCAUUGAUCAAGUAUCACAAGGUCAUCUUCACCAUCGUCAACAACAUCAAACUUUUGGAUUUCAUUGUGAUUAUUAGUUUCAUCUCCUGAAAUCCCAGGCUGUUUUCUCUUCUUCCCAGAAAUCUCAGUCUCUUCUGAAAUUUCAACGAGCUCGACUUCUUUUUGACCCUCUGUUGGCAAUGCCUUUGAUGUGCUCCCACCAUUGCCAACCAACUUCUUGUUAUCAUCCUUCUUCUCAAGAGGCGCUUGUGUCCAUCCAGAGAGAACCAUUCCAUCAGGUUCCUUCUCUUCGUCAAAUUCUUCCCUAUGCUUGAUAUAGAUAUUGCAAGUGAACUCCUGUUGAAGAUCUUCUACUGUGAGCAUUGUGCCACCAAUAACUGAAGAAGGAAGCUCAGAUAGCACCUUU
rnacentral:misc_RNA from 1 species